rnacentral:rRNA from 1 species
GACGAACGCUGGCGGCGUGCUUAACACAUGCAAGUCGAACGGAAAGGCCCUGCUCUUGUGGGGCGCUCGAGUGGCGAACGGGUGAGUAACACGUGAGUAACCUGCCCUUGUCUUUGGGAUAACUUCAGGAAACUCGGGCUAAUACCGGAUAGGAGCUCCUGCUGCAUGGUGGGGGUUGGAAAGUUUCGGCGGUUGGGGAUGGACUCGCGGCUUAUCCGCUUGUUGGUGGAGUAGUGGCUUACCAAGGCUUUGACGGGUAGCCGGCCUGAGAGGGUGACCGGCCACAUUGGGACUGCGAUACGGCCCAGACGCCUACGGGAGGCAGCAGUGGGGAAUAUUGCACAAUGGGCGGAAGCCUGAUGCAGCAACGCCGCGUGCGGGAUGACGGCCUUCGGGUUGUAAACCGCUUUCGCCUGUGACGAAGCGUGAGUGACGGUAAUGGGUAAAGAAGCACCGGCUAACUACGUG